rnacentral:rRNA from 1 species
GGAGGUACCGUCAUCACGCUGGAUAUUAACCAGCGCUCAUUCUUCCCUCCCCACAGAGCUUUACAACCCGAGGGCCUUCAUCGCUCACGCGGCGUCGCUGCGUCAGGCUUUCGCCCAUUGCGCAAGAUUCCCU